GUUAAACUUAUUAAGUACAACUAUUCUAUUAAAAUGAAGUUCAUUAUCGGGCUUAUUUGUGCAAUUUUCGUAUUUGAAGUGUUCAGAAAAAAGAGACCUCCAUGUGGUAAUUUUGGAUGCAAUUGGGAGAAAGGGGAAUAAUUGUGUAUAUUUUAAUUUACAAUUCAGAUGUACAUAUAUCAUAAUAAAAAGCAAGUGCAAAGUGUGGCUUAGCAAUGAGAGACUGCUAUUCAUUGGGUUAAAUUUCAAUUUGAAUGUGGGAACUGCAGAUCGAACUAUCUCACAGCCUUGAUUUCGCUUUGCUUUAUCCUUUUUCAUCAAACCAUUUGAUUAAAGAAUUUUUGAUUAUGCUUUCUAA